UUUUAAAAAUUUUAUCUAUUUUCACUGUUCAAAACUAGUGUGACUGACAAAAUAAUCAAAUAGUUACACAUAACAUGUAACGUAUAUUUUAUGUUGAUAUAUAGGGACCAAUUUUUAACAGUAGAAAUGAAUAAAAUUUUUAAUA
rfam:Gossypium hirsutum cultivar TM-1 chromosome 1, whole genome shotgun sequence